AAAGGCAAGUAAAGGUAUUGACCUAAUUUUAUCUCUCCUCUUUUACCCACCAUUUCUCUGCAACUUAGAAUUCUUGGAUUUUUACAAGCCUUCAUCAGGCUAUUUAAUAGGCGUUAGUCCUAUUUUUUCCCGUAAUUGCAUUUUCUUUGCCCUAAAUCAUCCAUUACAGUUUGUGUCACUGUUCUUCACGAGUUUUCAGUGAUUUCAUUCUAGCUCCAUCGAUCACUGUGUGAUUUUCCGGUUCUGAUCUUAAUUAUAGUCCUUCAUGUAUUUUUCGAGCCUAUGAGCAUUGAUUCCGGCCAUUUACCUGAGAAAUUCAGGUGAACACCACUAUGCCUAUCCAUUAAUGGUGUAGUUCUGAAGAGAUGAGCCCUAAUGUGGGCAUUGACAGUGUAAUUUUCUGGUGAUUAGUUUUUGUUUUUCAUGAUGAGCUCAAGUCAUGAAAAACGCAAUGAUUGCAGCCACGAAAAGGCCUAUAGAUUAUCCAGCACUCCAUAUACAGAGAUUGCUCCUUGCUUGCCCUUGCCCAGCCUUCCAGUUUUUUGCGGAGCUCUCAGCUCAGAUCUCUCACUUUUCGACAAUCAAAACUUUCAAUUCAUUGAUCGUCCUGAGAUACUUGCACAAGCUAGUAGGAUUGCAGCUCUCCUCAAAGACACUGAUGUUAGUUACCUAUCUUUCUGAGAUGAUGCCAAUUCUAUUUCUAGUCUCACUGGGAAACCUGGGACCCUAAUUUCGGAAAUUCUUCACUAUGACCCUGAAGCUUUCAGUUGCUCCUGUCCAGUUCCUCAGGUUUCAUUAAGAAGCAGAGUCAUCAUAACUUGCCAUCUGAAGGGAAAACCUUGGAGGAAAAGGUUAAAACUGAUGUCCUGGAAGAAAGAUUUUCAAAAGGGCCUCAGUGCCAAUCAGAUGGGCUUAUUAAUGUAUGCAAUUCCUGUUUUACGUUACUUUAUGCUUGAUGUUUUGUUCUCAGUUGCCCUGUUUCUCUGCAUAAUUGGAGUCAAAGGUUGAUUUAGGCAAAAUUUUGAGUCAUGUAAUUCAUGGAUGUUAUAUCUUCAUGUUUUACUUGUCUUAAAAACCUAAUUAGAUAAAGGAAAAAAAUUACCCUUGUUGAAGGGUAUUUGGUUUCCGUUCCAUGCAUUUCUGCAGGAAGUUCAUGAGAGCAUCGUAAUUUCAUUAACUAUAAUUUAUGCGACGUGUUCUCUACAUAAAUGUUGCUACACUAUAAACAGUCGAUUGCCAAUUUUUAGCAUGUGUACUUAUAAAUUUCAGACCAAUGUCAAUGACCUCAAUGAUUGGGUUUUGCCUUCA